CUGACACUUUUGUUUAGGGGAGAGCGGGGCUGAAAGUGCCGGGGGUAAAUUGUGCCGACGCGAAUAUCUCAAAAACAGAAAGAGAUAGAUAUAUGCGAUCGUAUUGUGUCGCGUAAGGCCUAACAGUCGCGCACACGCGGCUGCCAUUUUAGUUGCGUCAGCGACGCGGACCGAGUCGUACUGCAUGUGAGGGUCCUCCAGCGCCACUAUUGUUUAUAUUUACGCGAGCUAUUAUGAAAGAAAGAAAAUAUGCAGUUUCCAGCCUCCUCAAUCAGUUGAUAAUAACACAGGAGAUAAAAAUGCAGCAGUUUUCUCACCAGAGCUAAUAAGACCACUGCCUAAAGCACCUCCCCGACUAAUUGGACAUACUAAAGCACGUAAAAGAAAGACAGCUGUUCUUACGGACACUCCAGAGAAAAAUGCUUUAGCAGAAGAACAGGCUAGUAAAAAGAAGAAAAAAGAAAGCGAAACUAAAAAGAAGGUUAAGGGAAAAGGGACGGGAAAAUGCAAGGGAAA